CGCAGCCGCGGUAAUUCCAGCUCCAAUAGCGUAUAUUAAAAUUGUUGCAGUUAAAAGCUCGUAGUUGAAUUUCAGGCCUGGCUGGACGGUCCGCCCUUCGGGUGAGUACUGUCUGUGGUCGGGUCCUACCUUCUGGCGAAGCGUCAUGGCCUUAACCGGCCGUGGCGGGGAACCAGGACUUUUACUGUGAAAAAUUAGAGUGUUCAAAGCAGGCAAUCGCUUGGAUACAUUAGCAUGGAAUAAUGGAAUAGGACAAUGGUUCUAUUUGUUGGUUUCUAGGACCGUUGUAGUGAUUAAUAGGGAUAGUUGGGGGCAUUAGUAUUCAAUUGUCAGAGGUGAAAUUCUUGGAUUUAUUGAAGACUAACUACUGCGAAAGCAUUUGCCAAGGAUGUUUCAUUAAUCAAGAACGAAAGUUAGGGGAUCGAAGACGAUCAGAUACCGUCGUAGUCUUAACCAUAAACUAUGCCGACUAGGGAUCGGACGAAGUUAAUUUAUAAUGACGCGCUCGGCACCUUACGGG
rnacentral:rRNA from 1 species